UGGGGAAUAUUGCACAAUGGGGGAAACCCUGAUGCAGCAACGCCGCGUGGAGGAAGAAGGUUUUCGGAUUGUAAACUCCUGUCUUUUGGGACGAUAAUGACGGUACCAAAAGAGGAAGCCACGGCUAACUACGUGCCAGCAGCCGCGGUAAUACGUAGGUGGCGAGCGUUGUCCGGAAUUACUGGGCGUAAAGGGCGCGUAGGCGGCCUGUUAAGUCAGAUGUGAAAACCCCAGGCUCAACCUGGGGACUGCAUAUGAAACUGAUGGGCUAGAGUGUCGGAGAGGGAAGCGGAAUUCCUAGUGUAGCGGUGAAAUGCGUAGAUAUUAGGAGGAACACCAGUGGCGAAGGCGGCUUUCUGGACGAUAACUGACGCUGAGGCGCGAAAGCGUGGGGAGCAAA
rnacentral:rRNA from 1 species